rfam:Cavia porcellus supercont2_21 genomic scaffold, whole genome shotgun sequence.
AUCCUCAGAUUCAUAAGCGUGAUGAUUGGGUGCUCAUGCCCCAUGCAUGACAUGUGCCUCCUUUGAACCUUGUGACGACCUCGGCACAUUACUCAUCUGACG